AUGUUGUCUUUAUGCAUUGAGUACUCGGUUAUAUUUUGGCGUAAGUUUCCUUUUCUUGUUUUGUUGGAAAUAUGUCAAAUAGUUGUAUGGGUGAACUGGAACCUUAUGCAAUUUGUUUCAAGGGUGGACUGUUGCCCUUUUACCAAUAUGUAUAUCUUCCUACUCCCCACUUGCCAAAUUAAAGCGCAUAUUCGCAAUAACUCGUAUCAGUACCAAAUUACCAAGGGUUGUUUAUGCUUGAUGCAUUGGCUCAUGGAGCCUCUGGGUAAUAAAUGCUCCUGCAUGCAUUGGCUUACAGUGCCUCGAUCUUAG
rnacentral:rRNA from 1 species